AAUAGAUACCCUGGUAGUCCACGCCGUAAACGAUGGGCACUAGGUGUGGGGGGUGUCGACUCCCUCCGUGCCGGAGCUAACGCAUUAAGUGCCCCGCCUGGGGAGUACGGCCGCAAGGCUAAAACUCAAAGGAAUUGACGGGGACCCGCACAAGCAGCGGAGCAUGUGGUUUAAUUCGACGCGACGCGAAGAACCUUACCUGGGCUUGACAUGUGGGUGACCGCCAUGGAAACAUGGCUUCCCUUCGGGGCACCUUCACAGGUGGUGCAUGGCUGUCGUCAGCUCGUGUCGUGAGAUGUUGGGUUAAGUCCCGCAACGAGCGCAACCCCCGUCGUAUGUUGCCAGCAUUUAGUUGGGGACUCAUGCGAGACUGCCGGUGACAAACCGGAGGAAGGUGGGGACGAUGUCAAGUCAUCAUGCCCCUUAUGUCCAGGGCUACACACGUGCUACAUUGGCGCGUACAGAGGGUUGCGAUACCGUGAGGUGGAGCGAAUCCCUUAAAGCGCGUCUCGGUUCGGAUUGCAGGCUGAAACUCG
rnacentral:rRNA from 1 species